AUUGAACUCUGGCGGCAGGCCUAACACAUGCAAGUCGAGCGAGCGGCGGACGGGUGAGUAAUGUAUGGGGACUGCCCGAUAUAGGGGGAUAACUCCUGGAAACGGUAGCUAAUACCCCAUACUAUCGUAUAACCCCUAUGGGUUUAGCUAGUAGGUGAGGUAAUGGCUCACCUAGGCGACGAUCCCUAGCUGGUCUGAGAGGAUGAUCAGCCACACUGGUACUGAGACACGGCCCAGACUCCUAAGGAGGCAGCAGUGGGGAAUAUUGCACAAUGGGCGCAAGCCGGAUGCAGCCAUGCCGCGUGUAUGAAGAAGGCCCUAGGGUUGUAAAGUACUUUCAGUCGGGAGGCGGGAAAGAAAGAAGAAGCACCGGCUAACUCCGUGCCAGCCGGCGCGGUAAUAG
rnacentral:rRNA from 1 species